UACGUAGGUGGCAAGCGUUGUCCGGAUUUACUGGGCGUAAAGAGCGCGCAGGCGGCUGGUCAAGUCCGAUGUGAAAUCUCCCGGCUCAACUGGGAAACUGCAUCGGAAACUGAUCGGCUUGAAGGUGGGAGAGGGUAGUGGAAUUCCCGGUGUAGCGGUGAAAUGCGUAGAUAUCGGGAGGAACAUCAGUGGCGAAGGCGGCUACCUGGCCCAAUACUGACACUCAGGUGCGACAGCAGUGGGGAGCAAACAGG
rnacentral:rRNA from 1 species